GUAGGGACCUCAAGAAUACAG
rnacentral:siRNA from 1 species